rnacentral:rRNA from 1 species
UGCAGUCGNNGAUGAAGCCCUUCGGGGUGGAUUAGUGGCGAACGGGUGAGUAACACGUGGGCAAUCUGCCCUUCACUCUGGGACAAGCCCUGGAAACGGGGUCUAAUACCGGAUAACACCUGCCCGGGCAUCCGGGUGGGUUAAAAGCUCCGGCGGUGAAGGAUGAGCCCGCGGCCUAUCAGCUUGUUGGUGAGGUAGUGGCUCACCAAGGCGACGACGGGUAGCCGGCCUGAGAGGGCGACCGGCCACACUGGGACUGAGACACGNNNAANNCNNNUACGGGAGGCAGCAGUGGGGAAUAUUGCACAAUGGGCGAAAGCCUGAUGCAGCGACGCCGCGUGAGGGAUGACGGCCUUCGGGUUGUAAACCUCUUUCAGCAGGGAAGAAGCGAAAGUGACGGUACCUGCAGAAGAAGCGCCGGCUAACUACGUGCCAGCAGCCGCGGUAAUACGUAGGGCGCAAGCGUUGUCCGGAAUUAUUGGGCGUAAAGAGCUCGUAGGCGGCUUGUCACGUCGGGUGUGAAAGCCCGGGGCUUAACCCCGGGUCUGCAUUCGAUACGGGCUAGCUAGAGUGUGGUAGGGGAGAUCGGAAUUCCUGGUGUAGCGGUGAAAUGCGCAGAUAUCAGGAGGAACACCGGUGGCGAAGGCGGAUCUCUGGGCCAUUACUGACGCUGAGGAGCGAAAGCGUGGGGAGCGAACAGGAUUAGAUACCCUGGUAGUCCACGCCGUAANCGGUGGGAACUAGGUGUUGGCGACAUUCCACGUCGUCGGUGCCGCAGCUAACGCAUUAAGUUCCCNGCCUGGGGAGUACGGCCGCAAGGCUAAANCUCAANGGAAUUGACGGGGGCCCGCACAAGCAGCGGAGCAUGUGGCUUAAUUCGACGCAACGCGAAGAACCUUACCAAGGCUUGACAUACACCGGAANGCAUUAGAGAUAGUGCCCCCCUUGNGGUCGGGGUACAGGUGGUGCAUGGCUGUCGUCAGCUCGAGUCGGNAGAUGUUGNGUUAAGUCCCGCAACGAGCGCAACCCUUGUUCUNNGUUGCCAGCAUGCCCUUCGNGGUGAUGGG